UUGUUGCAGAGGAGGCCUGCAGCACACUCUCACUUCCCUUCCCAGCAGCUCCUGUCUCUAACUCUCGCGGCCUGCAUGCUGAGCGGAGUGUUACCAUGGUAACCCGUAGCGACGCUCUGACAGAUGCGGGGCGCGCAAGAUUUAGACAGGAGAGCUGCUGGGAAGGGAAGUGAGAGUGUGCUGCGGGCCUCCUCUGCAAC